rnacentral:lncRNA from 1 species
AGGCGGAGUUGCAUACAAAGUUUGAAUGAGAAAUAAUGGUCAAAGAAGGAGAAAUUGCAGGUUAAAGUUCAUCAUCGACCUUCUAGGCGACGAUGUCAUAUAAUGUGAAGUCUUGCUUGAGAAUGCACCAAGUACCUGGCUGUUGAAGAUAAAAGAAAAUUGCAAAAAAAAGUCCUAAUAAUCCAAUAGGAUUAUAGAGAAAUUAUAAUUAAAUAUUAAUAAUCAUAAUCAAAUAUUAAGCAAGCUAAAUUAAAUUUUAUUGAAGUUAUGAAAAAAAUAUAAGGAAAUCCUAAAGAAAUAUAAAAGAAUAUUAAAGAAAACUUAAUCAAACCUCAAUAAAAAUCUAAAUAAACCUUUAAUUCUAAUCAAACCCUGAUCCUAAUCCAACCUUAAUCAAAUCCUAAACAAAUACUAAAUCCUAAACAUAUCCUAGUCAAAUCUUAGAUAAAUCCUAAUCCUAACAAAUCCUAAUCAAUUCCAAAUCCUAAAAAAAUCCUAGUCAAACUUUAAACAAAUUCUAGUCAAAUCCUAGUUAAAUCUUAACUCUAAAUCCUAAUCAAAUCCUAAACCCUAAA